rnacentral:rRNA from 1 species
AUUGCAGGCUGCAACUCGCCUGCAUGAAGUUGGAAUUGCUAGUAAUCGCGAAUCAGAAUGUCGCGGUGAAUACGUUCCCGGGCCUUGUACACACCGCCCGUCACACCAUGGGAGUUUGUAACGCCCAAAGUCGGUGGCCUAACCUUUAUGGAGGGAGCCGCCUAAGGCGGGACAGAUGACUGGGGUGAAGUCGUAACAAGGUAUC